rnacentral:tRNA from 1 species
GGAUAUAGCCAAGUCGGUCAAGGCACAGGACUUUGACUCCUGCAUUUCGUUGGUUCGAGUCCAACUAUCCC